ACUAAUCAUUUAAACGAGAAAAUUGUUUUUAUAUAAAUUGAAACGCUCGAUGUUGAUGAAAAAAACAAUAUUUGAGAUAUAUGGAGAAUCGUGUAACAGCUCGAUUAAAACGGUUAUGCGUGCCAUGCAGAAUGUUUCUAGGAAGAGGUGAUUUUAAUUGGAUUAUCGCAUAGCAUAACGACAUUGACACGAGAAACAAGUUUGUCGUAUUUGCUAUACACUUCUCCGAACUUUUUGCGGACUUGCUCAAUUAUUGACUCUUACUACUUAUGUGUUAGCGAUUAUAUGAUAAGUAUUUUCUUAAAUCAUUUAAUUUAAACAAAUUUUUUUUUAAAUAUUUUGAAUUUCAUUAAUGCUUAUAUUUAA